rnacentral:pre_miRNA from 14 species
ACUUGUAUCUGUUGAGUAGUUACUAUUUCUUUGAGUAUCUGACAAGUGAAAGACCCCCAGAGUGGGAAGACCCUCACUCAAGUCUCCGGAUGGCACGAUCCCCCAAGAACUCACGUGAGACC